rnacentral:lncRNA from 1 species
CCUGGCAGGCCAUAGUAAUGGCCACGACUCUGCUCCACUUCCUGCGACGGAUUUCGUGUGGCUCCACCACUCUUUGGCAAGUCACGACAACGGACACUGCUCCACUCCCCGCAACAAGCUCCACGUGGCAGGCCACGGUGAUAGCCACGACUCCACUCCACCACUCUUCAUAACAAACUCCUCCUGGCCUCGAACGGCCCACUACCAGGCAGUUACAAACAUCGCUAUCAGUCU